AUGUGCAGUUUUUAUACGCCCGUAUAAAAUACGGGACGUAUUAUGUGAAACCCCUUGGCGGGCGGGCGGCGGGCGGAAGGCAUCACUUUGUCCGGACUCUAAUUCAAAUUGUAUUCAUCCGAUCUUCACCAAACUUGGUCAGCAGUUGCAUCUAGUUGAUAUCUAGGCCAAGUUCGAAUAUGGGUCAUGCCGGGUCAAAAACUAGGUCAUAGGGUCAAUUAGUGCAUUUUCAACGGCGCCACUUUGUCCGGACUCUAAUUCAAAUUGUAUUCAUCCGAAUCUUUUAAACAACUUUUUAUCCUGCGUCAAAGUGGUAUGGGGGUAUAAGUCACAUUCAGUGACAAAGCUCUAGUUCAAGUUGAAUUCACCAAACUUGGUCAGAGGUAGUAUAUAGAUUAUAUAUCAGUCAGGUCUGAUUGGAGACAUGCAACCGAUUAACACAUGCAAUAUUUUUAUGCAAUAUUUUUAUCCAGUUUUAUUUUGCGAUAUUUUCAUCGGGUUUAUUUUUUUCGCGAUUUUUGAAACGAGUUAUUUUUAACAACAUGUUUAUUGGUAAGUUUCAUU